rnacentral:lncRNA from 1 species
GCCCAGUCUUGGGUAUGUCUUUAUCAGCAGUGUGAAAACAGACUAAUACAAGUGCAUUACUUCUAUGAGUAAGUAAGGAGGAAGCAGAUUGCCCCAACAAGAUGCCUCUUUUGUUCAAACCAGAGCUUGUUUAUCACAGAGAAAGAUGGCAAUAAUGUCCUGAGAAAUACGAAUGACCAAGGAACGCUAUCAUACUGUUUUGUGUGUGUGUGUGUGUGUGUGUGUGUGACUUCCCUGGAUGUGUGGAAGUUGACUUCCCUGGAUUAGCCAACCAUUUAUACUGAAAAUUAUGACACUGGUGGAAAAAGACAGGGCAGACUGUAUUUUCUUUUCCUUUCAGUCAUUUCUUAUCAGCAAGCAAAGGUAGGCAGAGUUGGUAGAAUGCGUGAGCAUCAUGAUGUGCAAUAAAAACAGUUAAAUUCGUUUUGUGUAAGUUUCCACUAUUCUUGUAAGAAUGAAAUACACAUGAAUGUAUAAGCUAUGAGAUACAAAUUGUGUAAUUUUGGUGAUUCUAUAUAAAAAUUAGAUGCUCUUAUAUUUGCAUCUAAACCUGGCAUAGUACAAUAUAAAAAUGAAUGGUAAAAUUAUGCUAAUUAUUUAAAAUUUUAACCUUUCUCUACUCAGAAUGACAAAGCAAGUAAAAAUCACCAUAGGAAGUCAAGAAAAAGACACCAACAGAAGAAAGAAAAAACCCUUUAAGGGAACUUCUUCCUGCUUUUUGAACUAGGGACUUCACAUAUUUCUUUUGCAUUGGGCCCCACAAAUAACAGGCCACAAUGAUGCUAUGUUGCUUCCAAGACUAGAUUAUAAAAAUAAUACUCUGGCAUCCACCUCUUCUCCCCCUCCCCCCACGUCCAUUCUCUACCUACCAUCUCUUUCUUAGGGGUUGGGGGAAGGGAGGGAAUUUCAGCCAUUUUGUCAAGACACCUUGGCCAACAACCACCAAGAGCCUGAGUAUUGCCAGCAGACGCAUGAGUGAGCUUGCAAGUGGAUCUUCCCCCUGCUGAGCCUUGAGAGAACUGCAGCCCUGGCUGACAUCUUGAUUGCAGUUGUAGGAGGAACCCUAAGUCAGAAGCACAGCUAAGCCACACCCAGAUUCCCAACCCACAUAAACUCUGAGGUAUAAACAUUGUUGUUUUAAGCUGCUAAAUUGUAGGAUGAUUUGUAAUGCAGCAAUAGAAAAGGAAUACAUUGAGAUUCAGUGGAAUGACAGCUUCCUCCCAAGGACUGAGGAAGAGUCCUCUGACCUAAAUCUUUUAGGAUGAGCAUUUCGUGAUGGAGGAAGUGGCAUCACAGGUAGAAGAUGCUACGUAAUCUAGGCCAGGACAACAUUUCCCAAACCACUUUCUCACAGAACCCCAUCAUAAUCUUAAAAAUUAUUGGAAGACCCCAAAGAGCUUUUAUUUAUGCAUUCUAUACAUAUUGAUAUUUAUCAUAUUAGAAAAUGCAAUUGAGGCAUUUAAAAUUUGUAUUUAUCGAUGGAUUUAGAAACAAUAACAUACCCAUUGCAUGUUGAGAUAGAUAACAUUUUUAAAAAAAUGAAUAUGCUUUCUAAAAAUAAAUUCAGUGAGAAGAAUGGCACUGUGUACAUUUUUGAAAACCCCUUUAAUCCUUGGCUUAAUACAACAAAGCUGGAUUCUAUACCUGCUUCUUCAUUGAAUCUGUUGAAGAGCACAUAUCAAGUAGCCUCUGGAAAACUCCACUGUGCAUUUGUGUAAGAAUGAGAAUAAAAAAGGCAAAUAAUAUCUUAGUCGCUGGACCACACAUUGAGACAAACCGAUCUAGGGCAUGGAGAUGAGAGAGUCCAGAGCACAUACUGACUAAACCAUGUUGAAGAAGGAAAAAUAAGGUUAUUCUCAGAAGGCUUGCAUAUCAUAGUCAAUAGUUUAUUCAGUAGAGGAUUUGGCAGACAUUAUUUGCUGCCCAUCCAAAAGCCAUUUCUGCUCCCUUUCUUCCUUGCUAAAGAAUCCUUGAAUCUGUUCAGAUAUUAGAAGGUCAUGAGUUGAGGGAAAGCAUGUUGAUUGGUGUUCCCUUUCCCAUGAUUGCUAUAAGCACACAUAUGUGACACAACCAUGGUGAUGAAAAGAAAUCAGCUGUGGUUGGUGGUGAUAGCAAAGUGUAAGCUUUCAUUGAUACAGAGGCUUACUCAUUUCUGCCUUUGGUUAUUGUGCUGCUUCUGCUUGCUGUAGCCUUCCUGUUUCAAUGAUGAGAAGGCCAAAGGAAUCUGUGAGCUGACCCAGAGCCCGCAUGUUGUUGACAAGCCACAGAGUUGCCCAACCUCUUUUAUUGUUAUUUUGAUUCAGGGAAUUCCUGAAGAUUCUGAAAUUGUGAACUGACAAGCCCAUGGAUGUCUACAAAGAGUGAACUGAUCACUGUGGGCUGGCCUUUGAGGCAUCAGUGAGGUGAUUAUUAAGAUAGUCAAGUUAAAGGUACUAUGGGUCUGAACUACACUGGUGUCAACAGAAACAAAAAGAAUACAGUAAAUGUGAAAGAACUGUGGAGAUAAAUUUUUAGGACUUAGCAGCUGAGUAGAUGGACAUUGGCAUGCACGGACAGGGGAACAGAAGGCAAGCAUCAGCAAUGGCAUGGUUAAUUCUUCGCCUGCAUGAUUAGAAGAAUAGAACAGAAAUACUGCAGGUUGGGCGGGGCGGGGAGUUGAUGGGUUAAAUUGGGACAUACAGAGUCAAGAAACAGAUACCUAAAAUAGAGUGCAUGUGGUUGGUGCUUACAUAAAUGUUUGCUGUGAUCUGGGACAGAAAUGAUCUGAUAGUCAUAGGGUUUGUUUCCUCAUCUCCUUCACAUUUUUACUAAAAUAUUGCUGCCUUAGGAAAGCCUUCCUUGGUCAUCCUAUCUGAAAUUGCAAUAUUCAUGACCUACUUCCUUAACACUCUUGUCCAAUAUAUCCUAAUAAGUCCUGUGUCACUUCUACACUAUUUUUUUACCUGAGCAUUUAUUUAUAUUAAACUACAUAUAUGCUUACUUAUUUAUCAUGUUUUCCUAAUAGAAGGUAAGCUCAAUAAUGGAACUUUUUAUCUGUUUUGCUCACUUUGUAGCUCCAGUGCCUGGGACAAUGCCUGACACUUAGCAGACAGUCAGUGAAUGUGUUAUAUAAAUGAAUGAAUACUUGGAGCGUGAGAAUCAGAGCGGCAAAAAUAUUUGUCCAUAAUAUGCCUAAAGAUAAAAACGGAAGCCUCAGAACUAGAUAAGUGCAUUGUAAUUGAAUGCUGAAUUCACAGAGAUAACAUCUGAGAUUUAUUAAGCAUCAAGUCAUGUCUUAAAAAUUUUAUAUACAUUUUAGGAUUUAACUCUUAUAAAAAUCCUGUGGGUAAGUACUGUUGUCUCUCCCACUUUACAGGUAGAGAGGCUGAGGUUCAGAGAGAUUAGGUAACUCAACUAAGGUCAAAAAGUUGGUCAGGGAGCUGGGCCUUUAUAUAAAACACCAAAAUGAGCCCUUGUGUAGAACCCUUGAGAGAGAUUUUAAUCUAAUGGCUGCAAUUUUAAAUUGUGUUCAGUUGUGGUAUGUAGUUUUUCAAGGAAGAUGACCCACAGCCUUUCUUGCUUUCUGGCUUUGGAAAAGGUAGAGAUGACCACUUAAACAUUCAAGGAAAAUAAUCCCUGACUUUGAAAUCAGAAGAUCAUUCAGAUAAUAUACUUACUUAUAAUCAUCCUCUCUAAUGUCUGACUAAAGCAAGAGUAAAAGAUUGACUGAACAGCAACAAAUACUUUAACAGUUAAAAAUAAAAUUGAUUGGUCUGUUGGAAACACAAAGCACUUUUAGCCCCAUUGGUUUUCUACCUGAAACCAGAGUGAAGUGACCUGAAGGAUCUCAUAAGAUAUAUAAGACCAGCAACUAUAGGAAAGAUGAUACUUUUCUUGAAGUCAUAUAUUGUCUAAGUUGAAGUUACAUGACUUAGAAGGUCAGAUGUGCCAUCUUUUCCCUUAAUGCCCCAGAGAUUCUCUUCACCAAGAAAAUGACUACAUACUUAUUUCAUUUAAAACAGACUCAGCCUAGUGAUGGUUUUCCUUCUUCUAUAAAAAAGCAGGCUAUUCAUGAAGAUAAGGACCCUUUUGGCUUUGCAACACGUUUUCAACAUUUUACUCAUGGACAUGAGAUGGUAAAACAAGAUGAAAAUGAUUCUUUUAUUGGGCAUUCAAUUAAAAAAUGUCAUGACUUUGCCAUUAGUUUGUAUAAAUCCUAGAAAUGAGUUUCAACGAGAGUGUGUUAUUAUGUUGGGAAAGAGACGGAAGUGUAUAACCUUGGGCAGAUCGUUUAACUUCUCUCUGCUUUACAGUUACAAGCGGUAAUACAAAGAGACAGGAUUAUAUGAUCUCCAAGGUCCCAUCCAGCCCAUUUAACACGGCAUUGUGGCUCUGGAGACCUGGAAGCACUGCUAACUGUUCUCUCGAUUUUCUGACGCUCGGCCACAUCAACCUGUCAUACUAGUUGUGAGGAGAAGUCAAGGACAGUGACACAGCCAGCCAGUCUGAGGCAUUUUCCAUCAUCCUGAAGGAGUUGCCCUAUCCUGCUUUUCACUGGAGGGGGCAUGGAUGGAUCUGGAAUGUAUAAUUGGAGUAGACAUUCUCAGCAGCUGGCGGAAACCCCGCAUUGGUUCCAUGACAUGUGGAAUGAAGGCUACGAUGGUAGGAAAAGAUAAGUGGAAGCUGCUAAAACUGCAUUUACCUUGAAAAAUAUUAAACACAAAGAAACACUACAUUCCUGGAAAGACUGCACCAUCAAGGACUUGAAAGACUCAGGGACGGGGUGAUUCUUAUGUUCUCACUCAACUUGCCUGUGCGGGAGUCAGAUGAAUCUUGGAGAAUGACAGUGGAUUAUUAUAAGCUUAACUAGGUGAUGACUCCAAUUGCAGCUGCUGUACUGGAUGUGGUUUCAUUGCUCGAGCAAGUUAAUACAUCCCCUGGUACCUAGUAUGCAGCUAUUGAUCUAGCAAAUGCCUUUUUCUCCUUACCUCUCAAUAAGAACAACCAGAAUCAGUUUGCUUUUAGCUAGUAAGGUCAGCAAUAUAGCUUCACUGUGCUGCAUCAGGGGUAUGUUAAUUCUCUACCACUAUGUCAUAAUUUAGUUUGCAGGAAUCUUUAUCACCUUUCCCUUCCAAAAGAUAUCACACUAGUCUAUUACACUGGUGACAUGAUGCUGAUUUGACGUAGUGAGCAAGAAGUAGCAACUACUCUAUAGUUAUUGGUAAGACAUUUGCAUGUCAGAGAAUGAAUUUUCAAGAAAAUUCAGUGAAAUUUCUAGGGGUCAGUAUGUGGAGCAUGUGAGAUAUUACUUCUAAGGUAAAGGAUAAGUUGAUGUAUUUGCCUCACCUUCAACCAUAAAAGAGGAACAAUGCCUAGUGGGCCUCUUUGGAUUCUGGAGGCAACAUACUCCUUAUUUGAGUGUGUUACUCUAGUCCAUUUACUGAGUAAACUGCUUUUCACUAGUUUUCAGUGAGGCCCAGAACAAGAAGAGACUCUGCAACAAGUCUAGGCUGCUGUGCAAGCUGCUCUGUCACUUGGGCCUUAUGAUCCGGUAGAUCCAAUGGUGCUUGAAGUGUCAGUGGUAGACAGGGAUGCUGUCUGGAGCCUUUGAUGGGCCCCCUAUUGGUGAAUCACAGUGCGGAUCCUUAGGAUUUUGGAACAAAGCCCUGAUAUCUUCUGUGGAUAACUACUCUCCUUUUGAGAAACAGUUCUUAGUUUGCUACUGGGCCUUAGUAGAGACUUAAUACUUAACUAUGCACUACUAAGUUACUAUUUGACCUGAGCUUCCCACCAUGAACUGAGUGUUGUCUUACUCGCAAAGCCAUGAAGUUGGGCAUGCACAGCAGCACUCCAUCAUCAAAUGGAAGUACUUUGUAUGAGAUUAGGUCAAAUCAGGCUCUUGGCACAAGUAAGUUACAUGAAAAGAAGGGGCCUAAUUGUCAUGGCACCCACUCCUAUUACAGGACCUUCUCUCUCCCGCCUGCUUCUGUGGCCUCACAGGGGAGCUCCUUGUGAUCAGUUGAUAGAGGAAAAAAGACUCAGGCCUGAUUUACAGAAGAUUCUGCAUGAUAUACAGCUACCACCUGAAAGUGGGCAGCUGCAGAACUGCAGACCUUCUCUGAAACAUUCCUCAAGGACAAUGGUGAAGAAAAAUCCUUCCAGUAGGCAGAACUUCAAGCAGUGCACCUGAUUGUUCACUUUGCUUGGGAGAAAAGGUAGGACAUGUGACUGUACACUGAUUCAUGGACUGUGGCCAAUGGUUUGGUAGAUGGUCAAGGACUUGAAAGGAACAUGACUGGAAUAUUGGUGAGAAGGAAAUUUGGGGAAGAAGUAUGUGGAUAGAUCUCUCUCAAUGGGCAAAAAACCAUGAAGAUAUUUGUGUCCCAUGUAAAUAUUUACAAAAGGAUAACCUCAGCAGAGGAAGACUGUAAUAAUAAAGUGGAUAGAAUAGCCCAUUCUGUAGCUACCACUCAGCUUCUUUCUCCAGCCAACCCUGUUCAUUGCCCAAUGGGCUCAUGAACAAAGUGGCCAUUGUGGCAAAAAAGGGGGGUUAUGCAUAGGCUCAGCGACAUAGACUCCUACUCACCAAGACCAACCUGGCUACAGCCACCACUGAGUUCUUAAUCUGCUAGAAGCAGAAACCAACACCGAGUCCCUAAUAUGGCACCAAUCCUCAUGGUGGCCAGCCAGCUCCUGGGUGGCAGGUUGAUUAUAUUGGACUGCUUCCAUCAUGGAAGAGACAGCAGUUUGUCCUCACUGAAAUAGAUAUUUACACUGGAUAUACAUUUUUCUUCCUGCACACAAUGCUUCUCCCAAAACUACCAUCCAUGGACUUACGGAAUGCUUUAUCCACCAUCUUGGUAUUCCACACAGCAUUGCUUCUGACUAAGGAACUUACUUCACUGCCAAAGAAGCAUGGCAAUGGGUAUAUGCUCAUGGAAUUCCCUGGUCUUACCAUGUUUCCUGCCAUCCUAUAGCUGCUGGCUUGAUAGAGUGGUGGAAUGGUUUUUUGAAAUCACAGUUGUAAUUCCAGCACUUUGGGAGGCUGAGGUGGGUGGAUCACCUGAGGUCAGGAGUUCGAGACCAACC